rnacentral:tRNA from 1 species
GCCUGGGUGGCUCAGUCAGUUAAGCAUCUGACUUCAGCUCAGGUCAUGAUCUCGCGGUUCGUGGGUUCGAGCCCCACAUGGGGCU